CAUCUCCUACGGGGGGCAGCAGUGGGGAAUAUUGCACAAUGGGGGAAACCCUGAUGCAGCAACGCCGCGUGAGUGAAGAAGUAUUUCGGAUUGUAAACCUCUGUCCUCUGUGAAGAUGAUGACGGUAGCAGAGGAGGAAGCUCCGGCUAACUACGUGCCAGCAGCCGCGGUAAUACGUAGGGAGCAAGCGUUGUCCGGAUUUACUGGGUGUAAAGGGUGCGUAGGCGGCUUUGCAAGUCAGAAGUGAAAUCUAUGGGCUUAACCCAUAAACUGCUUUUGAAACUGCAGGGCUUGAGUGAAGUAGA
rnacentral:rRNA from 1 species